rnacentral:tRNA from 1 species
GGCGAUGUAGCUCAGACGGUCAGAGCAUGCGGCUCAUAUCCGCAGUGUCCGGGGUUCGAUUCCCUGCAUCGCCACCA